CAGUCGCCACGGGAAUACGUAGGGUGCAAGCGUUAAUCGGAAUUACUGGGCGUAAAGCGUGCGCAGGCGGUUUGUUAAGACAGAUGUGAAAUCCCCGGGCUCAACCUGGGAACUGCAUUUGUGACUGGCAAGCUAGAGUCUGGCAGAGGGGGGUGGAAUUCCGCGUGUAGCAGUGAAAUGCGUAGAUAUGCGGAGGAACACCGAUGGCGAAGGCAGCCCCCUGGGCCAACACUGACGCUCAUGCACGAAAGCGUGGGGAGCAAACAGGAUUAGAUACCCCAGUAGUCCCUGUCUCUUAUAC
rnacentral:rRNA from 1 species